CCUACGGGGGGCAGCAGUGAGGAAUAUUGGUCAAUGGGCGCUAGCCUGAACCAGCCAAGUAGCGUGAAGGAUGACUGCCCUAUGGGUUGUAAACUUCUUUUAUAUGGGAAUAAAGUGCAGUAUGUAUACUGCUUUGCAUGUACCUUAUGAAUAAGGAUCGGCUAACUCCGUGCCAGCAGCCGCGGUAAUACGGAGGAUCCGAGCGUUAUCCGGAUUUAUUGGGUUUAAAGGGUGCGUAGGGGGGCUGUUAAGUCAGCGGUAAAAUGUCGGGGCUCAACCCCGGCCUGCCGUUGAAACUGGCGGCCUCGAGUGGGCGAGAGGUAUGCGGAAUGCGUGGUGUAGCGGUGAAAUGCAUAGAUAUCACGAAGAACUCCGAUUGCGAAGGCAGCAUACCGGCGCCCGACUGACGCUGAGGCACGAAAGCGUGGGUAUCGAACAGGAUUAGAUACCCUAGUAGUC
rnacentral:rRNA from 1 species